GGAAUCUGCCUGGUAGUGGGGGAUAACGCUCGGAAACGGACGCUAAUACCGCAUACGUCCUACGGGAGAAAGCAGGGGACCUUCGGGCCUUGCGCUAUCAGAUGAGCCUAGGUCGGAUUAGCUAGUUGGUGAGGUAAUGGCUCACCAAGGCGACGAUCCGUAACUGGUCUGAGAGGAUGAUCAGUCACACUGGAACUGAGACACGGUCCAGACUCCUACGGGAGGCAGCAGUGGGGAAUAUUGGACAAUGGGCGAAAGCCUGAUCCAGCCAUGCCGCGUGUGUGAAGAAGGUCUUCGGAUUGUAAAGCACUUUAAGUUGGGAGGAAGGGCAUUAACCUAAUACGUUGGUGUCUUGACGUUACCGACAGAAUAAGCACCGGCUAACUCUGUGCCAGCAGCCGCGGUAAUACAGAGGGUGCAAGCGUUAAUCGGAAUUACUGGGCGUAAAGCGCGCGUAGGUGGUUUGUUAAGUUGGAUGUGAAAUCCCCGGGCUCAACCUGGGAACUGCAUUCAAAACUGACAAGCUAGAGUAUGGUAGAGGGUGGUGGAAUUUCCUGUGUAGCGGUGAAAUGCGUAGAUAUAGGAAGGAACACCAGUGGCGAAGGCGACCACCUGGACUGAUACUGACACUGAGGUGCGAAAGCGUGGGGAGCAA
rnacentral:rRNA from 1 species